rnacentral:rRNA from 1 species
UGAGUAACGCGUGGGUAACCUGCCCUGUACACACGGAUAACAUACCGAAAGGUAUGCUAAUACGAGAUAAUAUGCUUUUAUCGCAUGGUAGAAGUAUCAAAGCUUUUGCGGUACAGGAUGGACCCGCGUCUGAUUAGCUAGUCGGUAAGGUAACGGCUUACCAAGGCGACGAUCAGUAGCCGACCUGAGAGGGUGAUCGGCCACAUUGGAACUGAGACACGGUCCAAACUCCUACGGGAGGCAGCAGUGGGGAAUAUUGCACAAUGGGCGAAAGCCUGAUGCAGCAACGCCGCGUGAGCGAUGAAGGCCUCGGGUCGUAAAGCUCUGUCCUCAAGGAAGAUAAUGACGGUACUUGAGGAGGAAGCCCCGGCUAACUACGUGCCAGCAGCCGCGGUAAUACGUAGGGGGCUAGCGUUAUCCGGAAUUACUGGGCGUAAAGGGUGCGUAGGUGGUUUCUUAAGUCAGAGGUGAAAGGCUACGGCUCAACCGUAGUAAGCCUUUGAAACUGGGAAACUUGAGUGCAGGAGAGGAGAGUGGAAUUCCUAGUGUAGCGGUGAAAUGCGUAGAUAUUAGGAGGAACACCAGUUGCGAAGGCGGCUCUCUGGACUGUAACUGACACUGAGGCACGAAAGCGUGGGGCGCAAAAGGGAUUAGAUACCCUGGUAGUCCACGCCGAAACCUCAUGGAAGAGCGUCGGAGGUUACCCCCUUCGGUGGCGCAGCUAACGCGUUAAGUACUCCGCCUGGGAAGUACGCUCGCAAGAGUGAAACUCAAAAGAAUUGACGGGGACCCGCACAAGUAGCGGAGCAUGUGGUUUAAUUCGAAGCAACGCGAAGAACCUUACCUAAGCUUGACAUCCUUUUGACCGAUGCCUAAUCGCAUCUUCCCCUUCGGGGACAGAAGUGACAGGUGGUGCAUGGUUGUCGUCAGCUCGUGUCGUGAGAUGUUGGGUUAAGUCCCGCAACGAGCGCAACCCUUGCCUUUAGUUGCCAGCAUUAAGUUGGGCACUCUAGAGGGACUGCCAGGGAUAACCUGGAGGAAGGUGGGGAUGACGUCAAAUCAUCAUGCCCCUUAUGCUUAGGGCUACACACGUGCUACAAUGGGUGGUACAGAGGGCAGCCAAGUCGUGAGGCGGAGCUAAUCCCUUAAAGCCAUUCUCAGUUCGGAUUGUAGGCUGAAACUCGCCUACAUGAAGCUGGAGUUACUAGUAAUCGCAGAUCAGGAUGCUGCGGUGAAAAAGUUCCCGGGUCUUGUACUCACCGCCCGUC